GAUGAACGCUGGCGGCGUGCCUAAUACAUGCAAGUCGAGCGAGCGGCGGACGGGUGAGUAAUGUCUGGGAAACUGCCUGAUGGAGGGGGAUAACUACUGGAAACGGUAGCUAAUACCGCAUACCAUCAGAUGUGCCCAGAUGGGAUUAGCUAGUAGGUGGGGUAAUGGCUCACCUAGGCGACGAUCCCUAGCUGGUCUGAGAGGAUGACCAGCCAAACGGGAACUGAGAAACGGUCCAGACCCCUACGGGAGGCAGCAGGGGGGAAUAUUGGCACAUGGGGGCAAGCCUGAGGCAGCCAUGCCGGGGUUGGGAAGAAGGCCUUCGGGUUGUAAAGCACUUUCAGCGAGGAGGCGUUACUCGCAGAAGAAGCACCGGCUAACUCCGUGCCAGCAGCCGCGGUAAUAC
rnacentral:rRNA from 1 species